rnacentral:tRNA from 1 species
AGCAGCGUGGCUCAGUGGAAAGAGCACGGGCUUGGGAGCCCGAGGUCAUGGGUUCGAAUCCCGGCUCCACCA